UUGGGGUUGCGGACAUAUCAUAACGAAGAGGUAUCGUAAUUGAAGAGGUUUGGAAAGACCCACCACAGAAGGUAAUAGUCCUGUAUGUUAAACGAGAAGACUUUAGAUAUGAUCCAGAGUACCACGGGACACGUGAAACCCUGUGGGAAGCAGGAGGGACCACCCUCCAAGGCUAAAUACUACCUAGUGACCGAUAGCGUAUAGUACCGUGAGGGAAAGGUGAAAAGAACCCCGGGAGGGGAGUGAAAUAGAACCUGAAACCCUGCACUUACAAGCUGUGGAAGCACAUUUCUUGUGUGACCGCGUACUUUUUGUAGAACGGGCCAACGAGUUACGUUAAGUAGCAAGGUUAAGCACUUAAGGUGCGGAGCCGUAGCGAAAGCGAGUUUUAACUGAGCGUUCAGUUACUGGACGUAGACCCGAAACCGGGCGACCUACCCAUGAGCAGGAUGAAGCGAAAGUAAAAUUUCGUGGAGGUCCGAACCCACGAGCGUUGAAAAGCUCGGGGAUGACUUGUGGGUAGCGGUGAAAUUCCAAUCGAGCCCGGAGAUAGCUGGUUCUCCCCGAAAUAGCUUUAGGGCUAGCCUCAAGGUGAGAGAUACGGAGGUAGAGCACUGAAUGUCCUAGGGGGUAUUGCACCUACCGAAGACUAUCAAACUCCGAAUGCCGUCAUCUUAUACUUGGUAGUCAGACUGUGGGUGAUAAGAUUGAUAGUCGAAAGGGCAACAGCCCAGAUCGUCAGCUAAGGUCCCUAAAUGUAAGUUAAGUGGUAAAGGAUGUGGGAUUGCACAGACAACCAGGAUGUUGGCUUAGAAGCAGCCACUCAUUCAAAGAGUGCGUAAUAGCUCACUGGUCGAGUGAUCCUGCGCCGAAGAUUUCCGGGGCUAAAACUUACUACCGAAGCUACGGCAUCAGUAAUGA
rnacentral:rRNA from 1 species